rfam:Oryza barthii chromosome 1, whole genome shotgun sequence.
AAUAAAUAUAGUUUUGCACUAUUCACGUUUAACGUUUCACCGUUCGUCUUAUUUAAAAAAAAUUUAUAAUUAAUAUUUUUAUUACUAUUAGAUGAUAAAACAUGAAUAGUACUUUAUGUGUGACUAAAUAUUUUUAAAUUUUUAAUAAAUUUUUAAAUAAGACGGACGGUCAAACAUUGGACACGGAUAUUCCUGACUGCACUUAUU